rnacentral:misc_RNA from 1 species
UCCGAGUUGACCCCGGCAGUCUCCUGCGAGUCCCCGCCAUUACGCGCUGGCAACACAGGACAAGGGUUGCGCUCGUUGCGGGACUUAACCCAACAUCUCACGACACGAGCUGACGACAGCCAUGCAGCAUCUGUGUGACAGCCUCGAAGGGGGCCCCAGUUUCUUGGGGCUUCCAGCCACAUGUCAAACCUAGGUGAGGUUCUUCGCUUUGUAACGAAUUAAACCACACGCUCCACUGCUUGUGCAGGUCCCCGUCAAUUCCUUUGAGUUUUAGCCUUGCGGCCGUAGUCCCCAGGCGGGAUGCUUAAUGCGUUAGCUUGGGACACUGGAGGGGUCAAUACCUCCAAUAUCUAGCAUCCAUCGUUUACGGCGUAGACUAC